UUAAGCGACUAAGCGUACACGGUGGAUGCCCUGGCAGUCAGAGGCGAUGAAGGACGUGCUAAUCUGCGAUAAGCGUCGGUAAGGUGAUAUGAACCGUUAUAACCGGCGAUUUCCGAAUGGGGAAACCCAGUGUGUUUCGACACACUAUCAUUAACUGAAUCCAUAGGUUAAUGAGGCGAACCGGGGGAACUGAAACAUCUAAGUACCCCGAGGAAAAGAAAUCAACCGAGAUUCCCCCAGUAGCGGCGAGCGAACGGGGAGCAGCCCAGAGCCUGAAUCAGUGUGUGUGUUAGUGGAAGCGUCUGGAAAGGCGCGCGAUACAGGGUGACAGCCCCGUACACAAAAAUGCACAUGCUGUGAGCUCGAUGAGUAGGGCGGGACACGUGGUAUCCUGUCUGAAUAUGGGGGGACCAUCCUCCAAGGCUAAAUACUCCUGACUGACCGAUAGUGAACCAGUACCGUGAGGGAAAGGCGAAAAGAACCCCGGCGAGGGGAGUGAAAAAGAACCUGAAACCGUGUACGUACAAGCAGUGGGAGCACGCUUCGGCGUGUGACUGCGUACCUUUUGUAUAAUGGGUCAGCGACUUAUAUUCUGUAGCAAGGUUAACCGAAUAGGGGAGCCGAAGGGAAACCGAGUCUUAACUGGGCGUUAAGUUGCAGGGUAUAGACCCGAAACCCGGUGAUCUAGCCAUGGGCAGGUUGAAGGUUGGGUAACACUAACUGGAGGACCGAACCGACUAAUGUUGAAAAAUUAGCGGAUGACUUGUGGCUGGGGGUGAAAGGCCAAUCAAACCGGGAGAUAGCUGGUUCUCCCCGAAAGCUAUUUAGGUAGCGCCUCGUGAAUUCAUCUCCGGGGGUAGAGCACUGUUUCGGCAAGGGGGUCAUCCCGACUUACCAACCCGAUGCAAACUGCGAAUACCGGAGAAUGUUAUCACGGGAGACACACGGCGGGUGCUAACGUCCGUCGUGAAGAGGGAAACAACCCAGACCGCCAGCUAAGGUCCCAAAGUCAUGGUUAAGUGGGAAACGAUGUGGGAAGGCCCAGACAGCCAGGAUGUUGGCUUAGAAGCAGCCAUCAUUUAAAGAAAGCGUAAUAGCUCACUGGUCGAGUCGGCCUGCGCGGAAGAUGUAACGGGGCUAAACCAUGCACCGAAGCUGCGGCAGCGACGCUUAUGCGUUGUUGGGUAGGGGAGCGUUCUGUAAGCCUGCGAAGGUGUGCUGUGAGGCAUGCUGGAGGUAUCAGAAGUGCGAAUGCUGACAUAAGUAACGAUAAAGCGGGUGAAAAGCCCGCUCGCCGGAAGACCAAGGGUUCCUGUCCAACGUUAAUCGGGGCAGGGUGAGUCGACCCCUAAGGCGAGGCCGAAAGGCGUAGUCGAUGGGAAACAGGUUAAUAUUCCUGUACUUGGUGUUACUGCGAAGGGGGGACGGAGAAGGCUAUGUUGGCCGGGCGACGGUUGUCCCGGUUUAAGCGUGUAGGCUGGUUUUCCAGGCAAAUCCGGAAAAUCAAGGCUGAGGCGUGAUGACGAGGCACUACGGUGCUGAAGCAACAAAUGCCCUGCUUCCAGGAAAAGCCUCUAAGCAUCAGGUAACAUCAAAUCGUACCCCAAACCGACACAGGUGGUCAGGUAGAGAAUACCAAGGCGCUUGAGAGAACUCGGGUGAAGGAACUAGGCAAAAUGGUGCCGUAACUUCGGGAGAAGGCACGCUGAUAUGUAGGUGAAGUCCCUCGCGGAUGGAGCUGAAAUCAGUCGAAGAUACCAGCUGGCUGCAACUGUUUAUUAAAAACACAGCACUGUGCAAACACGAAAGUGGACGUAUACGGUGUGACGCCUGCCCGGUGCCGGAAGGUUAAUUGAUGGGGUUAGCCGCAAGGCGAAGCUCUUGAUCGAAGCCCCGGUAAACGGCGGCCGUAACUAUAACGGUCCUAAGGUAGCGAAAUUCCUUGUCGGGUAAGUUCCGACCUGCACGAAUGGCGUAAUGAUGGCCAGGCUGUCUCCACCCGAGACUCAGUGAAAUUGAACUCGCUGUGAAGAUGCAGUGUACCCGCGGCAAGACGGAAAGACCCCGUGAACCUUUACUAUAGCUUGACACUGAACAUUGAGCCUUGAUGUGUAGGAUAGGUGGGAGGCUUAGAAGUGUGGACGCCAGUCUGCAUGGAGCCGACCUUGAAAUACCACCCUUUAAUGUUUGAUGUUCUAACGUUGACCCGUAAUCCGGGUUGCGGACAGUGUCUGGUGGGUAGUUUGACUGGGGCGGUCUCCUCCUAAAGAGUAACGGAGGAGCACGAAGGUUGGCUAAUCCUGGUCGGACAUCAGGAGGUUAGUGCAAUGGCAUAAGCCAGCUUGACUGCGAGCGUGACGGCGCGAGCAGGUGCGAAAGCAGGUCAUAGUGAUCCGGUGGUUCUGAAUGGAAGGGCCAUCGCUCAACGGAUAAAAGGUACUCCGGGGAUAACAGGCUGAUACCGCCCAAGAGUUCAUAUCGACGGCGGUGUUUGGCACCUCGAUGUCGGCUCAUCACAUCCUGGGGCUGAAGUAGGUCCCAAGGGUAUGGCUGUUCGCCAUUUAAAGUGGUACGCGAGCUGGGUUUAGAACGUCGUGAGACAGUUCGGUCCCUAUCUGCCGUGGGCGCUGGAGAACUGAGGGGGGCUGCUCCUAGUACGAGAGGACCGGAGUGGACGCAUCACUGGUGUUCGGGUUGUCAUGCCAAUGGCACUGCCCGGUAGCUAAAUGCGGAAGAGAUAAGUGCUGAAAGCAUCUAAGCACGAAACUUGCCCCGAGAUGAGUUCUCCCUGACUCCUUGAGAGUCCUGAAGGAACGUUGAAGACGACGACGUUGAUAGGCCGGGUGUGUAAGCGCAGCGAUGCGUUGAGCUAACCGGUACUAAUGAACCGUGAGGCUUAACCUU
rnacentral:rRNA from 1 species